AAUUCAUUUCCGCCCAAACCCUCCUUAGUGAAAAACCUAGGCUCCAAAACUCAUGUUCACGGACAAAAACUGAAAGCUUCAUCUCUUCUCCGCCAGUACCAAGGGUCGACGGCCUCCUCCACUUCAUCAUCGCCAACCUCCCUCAUUCUCUUCCUCUAUCUGAUUAGGAGAGGACAGGCUCCCUCUUCUGCCUCCAUCUCAUCCACAACUGACGUUAAUGCACACAAUAUGAGCUUCAUCCCAGAAUCUGUCGGCCAUCUCAUCUCCUCUAUCAUCUUCCUCACCGCUGACAGUAAGGUCUUCUCACAGAGCUUCCAGAUCUGAAAGCCAUCUCACGGUGCCUUCAUCCUCAGCCCACAGCCUUCUUCCAAUUGGGAGAGGUGCCACCGUCGAACUCUACUUCACCCUCUCCUGAUUGGUAGAGGUUUCUUCACCACCACUGGUUUCCUUCCACCUCUCUAUUUUGGAUUUGAAGAAUUCGAAGAGAAGGGUUCAUUCUCCAUCGACGAGUAGCCAUCCACUUCGUCCACAGCCUUUGUCGGCAGAUUGGCACUCGGAGAAGCUCCAUCCAGCAACCCCCUCUCCACUUCGAAUUCAAAGAGGGGAGCUCUAUUCCGCUCCGUGUCUAUGACAUUGGGUUAUUUCUAUCUAUGUUGGAUUGUGUUAUGCUUGUUGAUUAUUGAAUUGUAAUGUAGCUAUUCUCCCAUGUUUAGAAUUGCAUGUAUUUUGCUUAAUUGAAUUCUCGUUCGUGGUGUGUUUGAUGAAAUGCCUCUUUCAUUAGUUAGUUUAUAAACUUGCAUCUUCUUUGGUUUGAAUUCUUGUUAUGGUUAGUUAGUUGAAUGUUUUAGGUUAGAUUCGAUUAGAUUAGUUGAAAUUUGAUAAAUUUAGUCAUGUGGAAGUUUAUUUUUAAUAUUUUCUAAAUUUAUGCGACUCAAAUUUAUUCAACUUGUCCAUUACCUUGCCUAGACUCAAAUUGCCUUGAAUGAAGUUCAAUUAGGUGGGUUAGGAUUCAUGUACCAAACACCAAAUACCUGGAAUUAGCUGGGCUUGUUGUGAUUUUGGAUAUCUCCAUUAUUAAUUUUAUAAUUUUCAAGCAUGUAGUUAUCUAUAGCUUUUUUAUUUUUGUUAAACCUAAUAUAUCUAGCAUGAUGCUUUUCCAUAGAUUGGCAAGGCAUGUGGGGAGAAAUGGAAAAUAAUGUCAUUUGAGGUUGGAUGUUGCAUCUUUUUAUACACCAAUGCAUAUGUUUUAGUUUUGUUUGGUAUAAUAAAAAUGUUAUAAUACAUACAAACAUCUAUUUGCAAAUGUGAAUGAUUCAAGGCAACUAAGACUAUGCAAGAGUUAGAAGGGAAUUGUUAUUGUAUGAGAUUGGAGAUAGAGACAAGGCCAUUACUAAUUGGAGGAUGUAUCCAUUUCUCUAAAGGGAUACCUAGGUACUUCUUCAAGAUUAAUUUUAUGCUUCCUACAAUACAUCUUUUACAAGUUUUUAUAAGGGGUAUCUUUCAUCCCGCAGAGAUACAUGCAGCUCUAGCCACAUCAUCGUAUCCUAACAAGCAUGUUGCACUCCUUGCUGAGAACCAGUUUACAAUUGCCACUCUUUUGGAUCCUCAUUAUACUGAUCUCUCAUAUGUCAGGAAAACUAAGCAUUAGCCUCCGAGCUUGAUCAAUUCCUUGUAGCAUUUCAUCACACUUUCCUAACAAGCUCAAAUAUCUUGCUUGGUUGAUAAAUGGUGAUGCAUUAAUUCUUUUUCAAUGUAGAUGUUAAUGGGCCAGAAAUAAAUUUUGUGCGCCACUUCUAAAGGACAUCAUAUCACAAGUAAAUUCUAACGGAUGCAUUUGAUAUAUCAACUUGUCUAAGUUGAUUACAUAUGAUUUUUCUUCUUCAUUGCAAGUAACUUUUAUGUGAGAUAUAAAUUUUCAAUAAUCAUUAUAUAUAUAUAUAUAUAUAUAAUCGGAGCUAAGUAAUGCUCAAAAUUGCUUACAUGAUGCUUUUUGAGGAGACAUUGAUAAGCGAAGAGGAGGAAGAAGCACUACUUGAUCAGAAUAUGGAGGAUUAAGAUGCAGAAUAUAGAAAAAUGAAAGUCCAUGACUGCAUAUAUCAAGGGAGAGGUUUGUUCUUCCUUUGUGCAACUUAUAGAACUUUGACCAUCAUUCCUAGAGGUAUGUAAAAAAAAUUAUUUGGUUUUCAGGUGGAUUUGUUUAUAUUUCUAUUGAUUGCCCAUAUUGGUUGUGUGCUUUUGCCAUUCUAUCUUGGACGAACAUCACAAUGGGAAGAUGUUAGCCAUUUUCAUGUCACAAGGCACUCCAAAUUAAUUAAAGUUGAAACUCAUUAAAAUUAAUACAAGCGUUGUAGCAACGAGUCCCAAGUCGUAUUUUUUUUCCAAGGGUAACUAGUGAGUAAAUGUGUGAAUUCUAGAAGAGAUUCCAAUUAAAACCUAAGUUCAGCUAAAUCAAGAACAAUAUCAACCACAGAUCUAAUGUAACAUUGAAUCAAAUGAGUCAACUACUAUAUCCAUAAUUCUCAUCCACAUAAACCAUAGCUACAUUAGCUAAUAGAAGAGUUUCUACAUUCAAGGCUUGAAACCUAUCUUAAUCUUGCAUGAAUCAAUGUAGCAUUCAACUUAUAAUCAUAUUCGUAAAUCAAGUAAUCCUUUCACUAUCAAAACUAAAUCUCAUUGACAGCAUAUUCAAUGAACAAAGCAAGAGUUUCUCCAAUUCAAGCAUUAAAACUGACUCAAAGUGGUGGAAUUUGAAACAUUGAAUCCAAGGCAAAUACUAAGUAACAAAUUAAUUAGUUAGCUUUAGUUAAUUAACUACAUCAGAUUCAAAUUGUAAAGAUUCAACAAGAUGAGAAAGUAAGUAAGAAAUCAGAAAUGGGGUUUGCAGCAAAGAAAAACAGGGAAAGGAAUGUAAUAAACUGAAACAAGGAAGAAAUGGAACGAAAACUAUCAGAUCCAACGAUCUGAGCAAAUUCGAGUACAAUUCAAAGACAAACUCAAUGAAAUCUAACCCUAAGCAUUCCUUAAACCAAAUCCGGGAACAAUCCUCAACAAUCUGCCAUGAAGCAGAGACGCUAUCUGAAACCUCCCAUCAAGCACCCAACAAGCAAUAAACAAGGCUUCCAACUAUCACCAGGGGACAUUCACAGCUCUUGGAAACCUCCCCGCAAGCUCACAUCCAUCUGAUAAUCCCAUCGACCGAAGAACAGUGCUCAAAUUCUGGAAAUCGCAAACCAGAUCGAACGGCCAAUUCGAUCCAAUUUAGCUAUGAAAUGGAGAUCGGAAAACACUCAGAAACCUCAAAAAACCUCCCUUGAAGCAUAUGUUGACUGCGAAGAUCGUUGGACGAGAAACCUCCCUCAAACAAGAUCGCGACAGUGAGCAGAACCAAGACGUGCCGAGAAACCUCCCUCUAGCACUCUCUGAUCACCGGAAGAUGGACGCCGGCAGCUCAGGAACGCCGUCGGAGGAGAAGCUUGCUCAUCGGAUCUGGAAUUAAGGAACGGGACUUCGGCGUCGCGGAGAAGAAGAAGGAUACACAGUAGCAAAAUCGCAAGAUCGCCGAGCCAAGGAACACUGUAGUUCCUCACUGCCUUUUAAAUCUCCUCAGAUUUGAUCCGACGGCCAAGAAUGCUCUGAUCUCAAUCAACGGUGGAAACAUCUUCAGAUCGGACUAAAAACCUCUGGAUCUUCAUCAAUGGUUCAGAUCUGCUCCUCAUUAGGUCGGAUGGUCCAGAUCCUUAUCGGAUGGCUCAGAUCUGCUCAAUCUUAGAUGAACGGCUCAUAAUGCUCCGAGGCU